GAUGAACGCUAGCGGCAGGCUUAACACAUGCAAGUCGAGGGGCAGCAUGAGACGGAGAUUCGUCGAAGUCUUGAUGGCGACCGGCGCAAGGGUGCGUAACGCGUGAGCAACUUGCCCGUUUCAGGGGGAUAACCGGUGGAAACGCCGACUAAUACCCCAUAGUAUCAUUGAGAGGCAUCUUUAAUGAUUAAAGAUGGGACACAUCGCUUGAGGAUGGAUCUGCGCUGCAUUAGCUAGUUGGUGGGUAACGCCCACAAGGCGAUGAUGCAUAGCCGGCCUGAGAGGGUNAACGGCCACAUUGGGACUGAGACACGGCCCAGACUCCUACGGGAGCAGCAGUGGGAAUAUUGGGCAAUGGGCGCAAGCCUGACCCAGCAACGCCGCGUGAGGGAAGAAGGUUUUCGGAUUGUAAACCUCUGUCCUAGGUGAAGAGCAGAAGACGGUAGCCUAGGAGGAAGCUCC
rnacentral:rRNA from 1 species